CAGCAACUACCUCUUUGAUAUUCCUUCAUUACCUCUAGGGUUUACUAACUUUACUCUAAUUCAGAGUAAGCAGCCAUUUGGGAGUGAUAACAAGAGGAUAAAGACAUCACAGAUGGGGAGAAGGACCUGGCCUUCUGUCUUGGUAUAAAAAAAGGAAGAAAUAUGUCAUCCAUGAGAAAGGUUUCCUUCAAACUCCUGGAAUCAUUAAUAAAUAUGCUAUUGGAGGAGAUAAAAUAAAAACUUCAUAAAAACAACAAAAGAACAGCAGAUAAGGGGACAGGACCGAAGGCGCCUCAGACAUGGCAGGCCAAGCCUAAAAACAAGGUCAAGAAAUUGUUCCAGGAACUAGCAGCCACCAUCUCUGCUGAGUCAUGGGCCAUCCGGACGAGCAACUCCCUGUUCCGCUACAGUUAAUAGUUACCAAACUCCCUGCUCUGCAAAUAAAGAUAAGACACUCUCCUACAUUGUGAAUACUCCAGCCCGCAUGUACUGCUUGGUGGUUAGACCUUGUACCCAUUUCCCUUGCUGAUAUAUGAAUCAACCAAUCAAUUAUAACCACGCUGAAUCCCCUUGACUUCCCCUAUAAAAAGCCUUAAAUAUCGACUCUUGGGCUCGACUCCUCUGUCUCCUGUGUGAGAUAUGAGCCGUCCCAGAGCUCUGAUAAUAAACUGCCUCGUGUGCUUUAUGUC